CUGAAUUCAGCGGCGGACGGGUGAGUAAUGCCUAGGAAUCUGCCUGGUAGUGGGGGACAACGUUUCGAAAGGAACGCUAAUACCGCAUACGUCCUACGGGAGAAAGUGGGGGAUCUUCGGACCUCACGCUAUCAGAUGAGCCUAGGUCGGAUUAGCUAGUUGGUGAGGUAAUGGCUCACCAAGGCGACGAUCCGUAACUGGUCUGAGAGGAUGAUCAGUCACACUGGAACUGAGACACGGUCCAGACUCCUACGGGAGGCAGCAGUGGGGAAUAUUGGACAAUGGGCGAAAGCCUGAUCCAGCCGUGCCGCGUGUGUGAA
rnacentral:rRNA from 1 species